AACGAACGCUGGCGGCAGGCUUAACACAUGCAAGUCGAACGGGCGUAGCAAUACGUCAGUGGCGGACGGGUGAGUAACACGUGGGAAUAUGCCUUUCGGUUCGGAACAACUCGGGGAAACCCGUGCUAAUUCCGGAUACGCCCUUACGGGAAGGAUUAUCGCCGAAGAUUAGCCGCGUUGGAUUAGCUAGUUGGUGAGGUAAAGGACUCACCAAGGCGACGAUCCAUAGCUGGUUUGUAGAGAACGACCAGCCACACUGGGACUGAGACACGGCCCACGACUCCUACGGGAGGCAGCAGUGGGGAA
rnacentral:rRNA from 1 species